rnacentral:rRNA from 1 species
GAUGAACGCUAGCUACAGGCUUAACACAUGCAAGUCGAGGGGCAGCAUGGUCUUAGCUUGCUAAGGCCGAUGGCGACCGGCGCACGGGUGAGUAACACGUAUCCAACCUGCCGUCUACUCUUGGACAGCCUUCUGAAAGGAAGAUUAAUACAAGAUGGCAUCAUGAGUCCGCAUGUUCACAUGAUUAAAGGUAUUCCGGUAGACGAUGGGGAUGCGUUCCAUUAGAUAGUAGGCGGGGUAACGGCCCACCUAGUCUUCGAUGGAUAGGGGUUCUGAGAGGAACGUCCCCCACAUUGGAACUGAGACACUGUCCAAACUCCUACGGGAGGCAGCAGUGAGGAAGAUUGGUCAAUGGGCGAGAGCCUGAACCAGCCAAGUAGCGUGAAGGAUGACUGCCCUAUGGGUUGUAAACUUCUUUUAUAAAGGAAUAAAGUCGGGUAUGGAUACCCGUUUGCAUGUACUUUAUGAAUAAGGAUCGGCUAACUCCGUG